rnacentral:rRNA from 1 species
CUCAGGGAGGUAGUGACAAGAAAUAACAACACUGGAAAUUUUAUUUCUAGUGAUUGGAAUGAUGGGAAUUUAACCCCCUUUCAGAGUAACAAUUGGAGGGCAAGUCUGGUGCCGGCAGCCGCGGUAAUUCCAGCUCCAAUAGCGUAUAUUAAAGUUGUUGCAGUUAAAAAGCUCGUAGUUGGAUGUCUGCUGGAAGCAAUCAGUCCGCCCUAUUUGUAGGGUGUGCACUUGAUGAAUUCUGGCAUCUAUGUCCUAAUGUGAUAGAUACGGCGGUGUAUAUGGGUUAAUCCUAUAUACCCGUUUUUGUAUAUUAUAUUGGGAUAAUACCGUUACUUUGAGAAAAUUAGAGUGUUUGAAGCAGGCUAAUUGCCUUGGAUACUGCAGCAUGGAAUAACAAUAUAGGAUUUCGGUUCUAUUUUGUUGGUUUCUAGGACUGAAAUAAUGAUUAAUAGGGACAGUUGGGGGCAUUCGUAUUUAACUGUCAGAGGUGAAAUUCUUAGAUUUGUUAAAGACGAACUACUGCGAAAGCAUUUGCCAAAGAUGUUUUCAUUAAUCAAGAACGAAAGUUAGGGGCCCGAAGACGAUCAGAUACCGUCGUAGUCUUAACCAUAAACUAUGCCGACUAGAGAUAGGAAAAUGUCAUUUUUCUGACUU